GACGAACGCUGGCGGCGUGCUUAACACAUGCAAGUCGAACGGAAAGGCCCUGCUUUUGUGGGGUGCUCGAGUGGCGAACGGGUGAGUAACACGUGAGUAACCUGCCCUUGACUUUGGGAUAACUUCAGGAAACUGGGGCUAAUACCGGAUAGGAGCUCCUGCUGCAUGGUGGGGGUUGGAAAGUUUCGGCGGUUGGGGAUGGACUCGCGGCUUAUCAGCUUGUUGGUGGGGUAGUGGCUUACCAAGGCUUUGACGGGUAGCCGGCCUGAGAGGGUGACCGGCCACAUUGGGACUGAGAUACGGCCCAGACUCCUACGGGAGGCAGCAGUGGGGAAUAGUGCACAAUGGGCGGAAGCCUGAUGCAGCAACGCCGCGUGCGGGAGGACGGCCUUCGGGUGGUAAACCGCUUUCGCCUGUGACGAAGCGUGAGGGACGGUAAUGGGUAAAGAAGCACCGGCUAACUACGU
rnacentral:rRNA from 1 species